UUCCAUUGAGGCCUGUGUUUUCGGGUUAUUUACAAAGAGCUCUGUGAUUUAAGGUUUACAUAGAAAGGCUGUAUUCUAAGGUUUAUUUACAGAAGGCUCUCUGCUUUAGGGUUUAUUUACAGUGAGCAGUGUAGUUUAGGAUUUAUUUCCAGUGAGCUCUGGGCUUUAGCAUUUAUUUACAGGAGGAUCUUCAUUUCAUGGUUUUGUUUCAGUUGGAUCUUUGUUUCAGGGUUUUUUUUUAAACAAUGAGCUCUGUGUCUUAUUUACAGUGCCAUCUGCGUUUUUGAGUUUAUUUGCAGAGCAUUCUGUGUUUUUGAGUUUAUUUCCAGGAGGCUCUCUGUUUUAGCGUUUGUUUGCAGGAUCCUCUGUGUUUUAAGAUUUAAUUUACUGUUUAUUGGCAUGGGUACUCUCUGUUUGAGGCACUGACUGAGUACUGGCCUUCUGACAAUGUGGUACUCAUUCAGAUCUGACCCUCCAGCAAUGAGGUACUGUGUCAGAACUGAUCCACUGACAGUAAAGCACUGCCCCCUCAGUUCUGACCCUCUGACAGAGCUGCAAUCGUUCAGGACUGAACUUCUGAUCAUGUUGUACUCCAUCAACUCUGAACCCAAUGCAUUGAGGGAAAAAAGCCUUGAAAGUGCCGUUUUUUUUUGCAUGGCAAGCUGCUGAAUACGAACCAGUCUCACACCAUUGCCAUCACCUUGCCCUUGUGAAGGCAGAUAUGGAUAAAGUUUUUAAAGCUGAUAGAAAAUUGAAAGCACUCGCAUCCUGUGACAAUGAUUCUGAUGUCGGUAACUGGAAAGCCUCCAUUGUUGGAGGACGAGAAGCCAUAUCCAAUUGAAGCAGCAUAGGCUUUUGCGAUGACUGUGGAAACCACUGCUUAUGCCUUGCUUCAAGCAUUGUCAAGGAAUGAUAUCGACUAUGCAACACGGAUUGCGAGGUGGCUAACGAUGCAACAGAACUGUGGUGGUGGAUUUCACUCGACGCAGGACACAAUCAUUGCCUUGGAAGCUUCAUCAUGAUACGACAUUGCAUUUCUGAAGAGGGAAGAAGAAAUCAACAUGCAAAUUCAAUUCCAUGGUUUUGGACGUCCCAUUGAGAACACGAUUCAUGUGCGCCGGCAUAAUGCUCUGAC